AUCCCCAGCCUCAAAUUUCAUUCUCAACAUCCAUCUCAGUGGGAUUCCAGACUCCGCCCUACAGACCCCCCAAAAGCCCCCUACCGCCGGACUUUUGAUUCUUACCUAGCGCAUUAAAGGCUGCUCUGGCGCUUGGCACCAUGGGAUUUGUAGUUCUAGGGCUCGCAGACUGGGACUUUGCACAUGCGUUGUUGGUGGCUUCCGCACGUAUCUCCAGACCUGUUUCUUCCCAGUUGAACUGGCUACGGUGUGUAUCCUUGCUUCUCCUUUCUCUUUAGGGAGUUUUCCUUCGCUCUCGGAGCGAAAUUAGGCGUAAGCUGGCGCUCCCCUAGCCAGGAAGGCCAUAAUACUUGCUUUUCAUGAAUGAACAGAGCUGGGAUGAAGUAGGGGAAGUAGGCUAACUACUGUCGCUUCAGGUUGGGGCAAACAUUGAUCUGUGUCUCUCCUGAAAGUCAGAUAGUCUGUCAGGGAAGGGCUAGUCCUUUGGGAUUAGAGCCUUGGUUCAUCCGGUAAAUAUUGGUUUAGGGAGUGGUCGAAUACAGCAUACAGUCAAAGAAUGGCCUUGAGCCUCACGGGGUAAAAAAAACACGCUUUAAAAGAACAGUUUAUGGCUUGCCAGGUAAUGCUUAACUUGGACUAUCUCUAAUGGAGCAAACUAUUCUUAUACACAUUUGACGGAUGGGGAAAACUGAAGCCCCGAGUGGCAGGAGGUCGCCCAUCUUGAUAUCCGCAGGGCCAGGAGGGGAAGGAAACCUGACAGCUUCCAGGGUCUCCAGCUCUUUGCAACGCUUUGCUCUCAGGAGGAAAAACAGUGCCCUGCCGUCUUCAGAUGGAGCAUGGAUCACGAAGAUUUCUUCUUCAUGACCCUGCUCUUGCCUAAAUUUCUUGGGCAAGGGAUUUCAUCUCCUUCAUCUUCAGGUAGGGAAAAGAAUUAGGCCUCCUGUUGUACUUAUUUUACUAAUUUUAUUUUAUUUAAAAAUUUAUAUCUUUUUUUGUCUCCUUGUAAAAAUUGUCACACAGUAUUGAAAAUAAAUAGCGUAAAAUGGGGCGGCG
rnacentral:lncRNA from 1 species